rnacentral:rRNA from 1 species
GGAAGAAGGCCUUCGGGUUGUAAACCGCUUUUGUCAGGGAAGAAAAGGUUCUGGUUAAUACCUGGGACUCAUGACGGUACCUGAAGAAUAAGCACCGGCUAACUACGUGCCAGCAGCCGCGGUAAUACGUAGGGUGCAAGCGUUAAUCGGAAUUACUGGGCGUAAAGCGUGCGCAGGCGG